UAAGACGAACCGUGCGAACGUUGUUCGGAAUCACUGGGCUUAAAGGGCGCGUAGGCGGGUCAUCAAGUCCGGGGUGAAAGCCCCCAGCCUAACUGGGGAAGUGCCUCGGAUACUGGUGACCUCGAGCGGGGUAGGGGCAUCUGGAACAGCCGGUGGAGCGGUGAAAUGCGUUGAUAUCGGCUGGAACUCCGAUGGCGAAGGCAAGGUGCUGGACCCCUUCUGACGCUGAGGCGCGAAAGCCAGGGGAGCGAACGGGAUUAGAUACCCCGGUAGUCCUGGCCCUAAACGAUGAGAACUAGAUAGCGGUCUUGCAUGGGAUCGCUGUCGGAGCAAAAGUGCUAAGUUCUCCGCCUGGGGAGUAUGGUCGCAAGGCUG
rnacentral:rRNA from 1 species